rnacentral:tRNA from 1 species
AGUGGUUAAGUGCUCAGCUGCUAACUGAAAGGUUGGUGGUUUGAACCCACCAACCACUC